GUUCCAUCAGGAAUCUGCAGCACAUAUACUGAAAUUGGAAUGAUACAGAGACAAUUAGCAUGGUCCCUCAGCAAGGAUGACACACAAAUUCUUGCUUUUUCUCUUAGUCAA
ensembl:snRNA U6 U6 spliceosomal RNA